rnacentral:rRNA from 1 species
CCCUUAGAUGUUCUGGGCCGCACGCGUGCUACACUGAUGCAUUCAACGAGUCUAAAACCUGGUCUGAUAGGGCUGGGUAAUCUUUUGAAAGUGCAUCGUGAUUGGGAUAGAUGAUUGCAAUUCUUCAUCUUCAACGAGGAAUGCCUAGUAAACGCGAGUCAUCAGCUCGCAUUGAUUACGUCCCUGCCCUUUGUACACACCGCCCGUCGCACCUACCGAUUGAAUGGUUCGGUGAAGAUCUCGGACUUCGAUAUUUAUUCUUUAUUGAGUUUAUAUUGUGGGAAGUUAUCUAAACCUCAUCAUUUAGAGGAAGGUGAAGUCGUAACA